AAUUUAUAAAUCACCUCUACAAGUUCUGAGCAGAACGAAGCAAAUGGAAAGGAGAAAGGACUGCGCGGGCACGUCUGUGUUUCUACCUCUGCGCGGACCCGGACCAGAAACAGUCCGGCCCCGCAUUCUCCCCGCCCUGGCCCAGGGCGGGCCGCGCUCCCGGGAACACGGAGGAAAAGCUUUCUGUGACGCAAGCCCCUUCCAAGCGGUGGCAGGAAACCCCUCAGCGCUUAUUACGUCGACCACUGCGUGCUCUAACGUUAAAGCAGCUGGAGGACUUGCCCGCCCGCGCGGACGCAAGCCGGACCGUCAGACUCCGCGGGCACAGGCCCAGGCCGGAAGCGCCGCGGCCCGGAGGACGGAAGUGCUGGGACCGUUCCCGCUGGCCCCGCCCUCCUCGGGGCCCCGCGACCCGCGACCCCGCGACCCGGAAGCGCUGUCCGGAAGCGCCGCUCCGCCUGCAGGUGGGAGCUUCCGUGUGGUGGGGAGCCGCGCUGCGCGGCAGGGGUGCGGCCCGGUCCUGCGGCAGAGCCCGGAGCUGGGAGGGAAGGCCGGCUGUGCCCGGGACACCGCCUGCCCUGUGCCUGCCAGGACAGAUUCCAUCUCACCAUGAACCACUGACAUCAAACUUGUGAAGCAUUUCCAUUGAAUCGUUGGAAGGACUUCAUGUUCAGAUAGGGUUUGGAGAUGGGAGAGCACAAGUAGGCAGAGCGGCAGGCAGAGGGAGAGGGAGAAGCAGGCUCCCCGCGGAGCAGGGAGCCUGAUGCGGGGCUCAGUCCCGGGACUCUGGGAUCAUGACCUGAGCCGAAGGCAGACACCCGACUGAGCCACCCAGGUGCCCAAAACAGAUGUAUUUUUUUAUUUGAAAGAGCGAGAACAUGAGUGGCGGGAAGGGCAGAGGGCAGAGGGAGAGAGAAUCUCCAGCAGUUUCCCUGCUGAGCUUUGAGCCCAGUGUGGGGCUAGAUCUCACGACCCUGAGAUCAGGACAGGAGACAAAAUCAAGAGUUGGAUACUUAACCGACUGAGCCACCCAGGCACCCAUGUUCUUUUAAAUCUUGUCAGACUUUGGUCAAAAAACAAAUAAAUCUUGCAUUUGCUGUAUCCUCUCUCAUACCUUUUCUACGUAUAGUCGUGCUCUGCACUUCUUGUCUCCUCUUGGGGGCUGUGGAAUUUCUGAUUGUAGGCCUUCUCUAGAUACUGCAAAGCCAGGCCAGGUGCUGACAGCCUUCCUUUUGCUUUCCCUAGUGUGGUGCUGAGUGCUCCCGUUUUGUGCUGACGCACAGUCCCACAGAGUUGGGCCGGCGUUGUCUGCAUGCUCUCUAGCCUUCUGCAAGGCUCACUCUGGACGCAGUUGGGAGCGCACUCAGGGAGCUGACCGCCAGCUUGAGAGAUGUGUGGGUGAUGUGCACUGAGUACUGGGGGGUUCAGAGGUGUAGUGUCCCUGGCAGCUCAUGGACAGGCUUCCUGAUGGAGUCUGCAGUGCAGUUAGUAGGAUCUGCAUCUCUUCCGUUGCCCCGUUAAGACCUCCACCUGCUCUUUUCACAGGGGCUUCCCAGCCCCAGGUCAUGCAGCACACCCCGGUAUUGCAGGGAGUGCAGGAAGACCUGGGUUUCUUUGGCUAGAGGAGCAGGUCACUCACUUAGAUGCUCUCCCUUUCUCCCAAGGGAGAAAACAUGGGUCAGGAUGUGCCACUGAGAUGUGCCAUUUUGGGAGAAUGGUGAUCCAGUUAAAGUGAAACUGUUACUCUUACCCUUUUUAAUGCACCUAGUCUUCGAUGACUUUUUUUUUUUUAAAGACCCCAUUUAUUUAUUUGACAGAGAGAGACAGUGAGAGAGGGAACACAAGCAGGCAGAGUGGGAGAGGGAGAAGCAGGCUCCCCGCUGAGCAGAGCGCCCGAUGCGGGGCUCGAUCCCAGGACCCUGGGAUCAUGACCUGAGCCGAAGGCAGACGCUUAAUGACUGAGCCACCCAGGCGCCCCUCGAUGACUUCUUUUUAUUUCCUUGCUCCAACAGUGUGCUGGAACUUCUCUGCUGGGCUCCCGAAUUUCCACAAAGGCCCUCUCAUGCUGGAUGAUUGUCUAAUCAGUGUUCUUUGAGAGGAAGACAGUAGAAAAGUAUCCUGGCAUGUUGAUGAAGUCUGUUUCUUCAGAAAGUAAUCUUUUUUUAUAAUAACAGUUGGAGCCCUUUCACAGGAAGGCAAGAAAGAGGGCAUGAAGGGAAGGUUUUAUGUUUGACUGCAUGAAAAUUUUAAGUAAAAGAUCCAGGAAAACCUGAGAAGUCUGCUAUAGACAUGGCUCUGUGCAAUUUAUCAGUCAUGUUGAGCUCACUGCUCAGUGAGUCAGAAGAUCACGUAAAGAAAGCAAGGAUGCUGCUGAUAAAAGACUAACUGGUUGAACAAGGUUUUACUGGUUAAUAUGAAAAUCUAAUGUCUUUACAAACUACAUAUUGAAAUAAUGUAAAAUUAUUUAACAAGGACUGAAGAAUAUUUUCAGUAUAUAAUACUGAAAAACACUGAGGCCUCAUGACAAUAAAUUUUGAGGGGGAAGUAAUUUAAAAAAAUUUUAAAAACAUGGUAAUUAGGACAUUGGCUCUUCCUUUGUGCCCUAUGCCGCUGUUAAGGCUUCUGUUCUGUCCUCCAUCCCUGAUGACCCCACUGAUUCUUGUCUAGAUCACUCUUAUUUUGCUAUUAUGUCUUUAUGAGCCCAAUGGAUCCACCUGCCCCCCAUCCUUUAUUUAACUCUCAUUCGACCUUACUUUCUCUGACUCGUUCUGUCUCCCUUGUUGUUCUCCCUCUUUGAUGUGUUCUUUCCCCCAUAUCCCACACCUGACUAGACAUCCAUACGGAUGUACUGAAGAUACCCUCCUAGGAAGAGCCCACUUUCCAGUGACACACUGGGAAUGUAAACAUACCAUGCCAGACACAGCACGGAAGGUGAAAUUUGGAACAGGAGAGGUUGGUGCCCCCCCCCCCCCCCCGCAGCCCCAGGACCUUCCUGAGGCAGCCUGAAGGGCAGGCCUGAUAAACAGCAGGGUGCAGUUCCCAGGAGAACAGAAAAGGGGUCUCAGGAGAGGACUGGGGUCUGCAGAAUGCUAGGACCAGGAAUGGCAUGGCACCUGGGGGAUGGUCUGGAGGGCCAACAGGGUUGAUGGUGGUGAAAGGCAAUAAUCCACUUCCCUAAUUGUGACUUGUCAUAGCAUUGGGACAGGAGACAGUGAAGAGCCCAAAGGCAGAAAGUCCAAACAGGGAUAGCUUCCCAUCCAUUUUAACUAGAAACAAAGUGAGUUAGACCUGGUGGCGGAACGGCCAGUGUCCUGAGCCUCUCGAGGGUCUCCCUGCUGAUGGUAUGGACAGGUGCGUGGACUGUGCUAUCUGCUGGGACUCCUGCAACCAGGUGUGAAGAAUGGGUGGGGAGGGGAGGUACCAGUGAAUGCAGGAUUUGAGUCUCAAAGACAGGAGCACCUGGUCCACUUGGGUGGUACCUUUGCUCCAGCAAAUCUGCUUCUAGCUCAACAGGAAGCUAUAGGGCGGGUAGUGUUGGUCAAAGAGGGGCCUCCCCCAGGAAGGGGCAGGGGCAGUGUGGCUUGGGUGAGGUGGUGCUGGGCGUUGAGAAACACGUAGUCAGUGUGAGCAGUCCAUGCCCCACCUACCCUAUUCAGGUGUUUCUGCACCUGUCCCUUCCUCCACCAGUAUGUAUCACCUCACACUUUUGCUUUGGGGUUUUGCUUCAAAGUAGCUUUGGUCCUUUCCCCUAGUGGAGAAUUUAGAAUCCUUGAUCCCCCAACCUACAGGCUUUCCACCACAUAGCUCUAUAACUCCUCACCAUUCUGCCCCAGCUUAACACUCUCACUCAGAGCCCCAUCCCUGGUGCCCACAGCUCCCACAUCUCUGGACUGUUCAGACCCUGGAUUCUAGUCUUCCCUUCUCCAGAGCCCCUGCAAGUCCCACAGGCCUGACCCCACAAUUCUGGUUUCACUUCUCCCAGGCUCCCCAGUGGGCAUGCUCUGUGGGUUUUUACUGCACUGCUGAGCUGGCGCUUUCUACCUCAUGUGCCCUCUAAGACAUCACACACCCUGAUCCCACAAGCCCUGACAUGUCGUGCAUGUGCACGGAGGAGAUCUGAGAACAUGUGCCUGUGUUCUGACAGUCACGUGUGCACCUUCCACACUGAUCACAUACUCUCAGACACCAUAAUGACCCAUGCCUUCUAAAGGCACAGAAACAACAAGGAAACAUGACUGUAUACAGGUCAUAGAAUCACCAUAUGCCCUCUGCCCACACACAAUUGCUGACACAGUCCUCAAAGGAAAACCCGGCUGUGCCCAUGUGUGCUUUGAUAAUAGGGUAUUUCACCCUUGGACAUCAACAUGGAAGCCCAGGGCUGAGGCGGCCAGGCACUUGGCACAGGAAUGAAAUGCAUGCUGACCUCCCAUCAGAACCCAGCACAACUGGUUUGUAUGGCUGACCUAUGGGUGUUUGAUAUGAACACAGUACCAAGAAAUGAAGUUAGGGAAGUGUAGAUAAUUAAGCCCAUGAGAAAGUAUCAAAGUUUUAAUGUGAUUCCAACUUGUAAACUGGAGAAUAUAAAUAGUUACUAUUUUCAAAAUUCUGACAAAUAUAUUAUGCAUUAAAAAUAGAGAUGAAUCAUUCUUCGGUUUAAAAUGUCUCCAGGUGAAUUAUUUCCGUUUUGGCCCUGAGUAGCUUGUCCUGGACCAACUAACCAGUGACAGCAGUGAAACCUUACUAAAGUACACAAGCAACUGCUCAGAGGUACUGAAGUGUGUAGCCUCUUCAGAUGACUUGAUACAGUCUGAGAAAAGGGAAGCUCGACGAUGUGAUUUUCUUAUUCAUACUGGCUUUUUCUACUGAAGCAUCUGGAAAUGAACACUAUGGAAGGACAGUCCAGAGAAAUAGGCAGCUUUUCUUGACUGAGAACAAAAUCAGCUGGAAAUUUGUUCAAGCAAAAUACUGAGGCUUCUGCUUCCAGGUAAGAUGUUGAGUAGAGACAAGACAGAGAACAGGAGGGCGCCUGGGUGGCUCAGUUGGUUAAGUGACUGCCUUCAGCUCAGGUCAUGAUCCUGGAGUCCCUGGAUCGAGUCCCGCAUCGGGCUCCCUGCUCGGCAGGGAGUCUGCUUUGCCCUCUGACCCUCCCCCCUCUCAUGUGUGCGCUCUCUCUCUCUCAUUCUGUCUCAAAAAAAAAAAAAGACAGAGAACAGGAAAUUAGAUGUUUUAAAUUCAGAGAUUUGUAAAACCGGAGAGGACUAUAAGAACCAGGAAGAGACCAUCUGAUUUCCACACUUGGGGGAAUUUGCUUAGUAUAGACACUGAAAAUCAUGGGCAAAAAAAUCACUAUGAGGAAAUAACAAGUAGAUGGAUAUAUAAACAUGUGGACUGACAUAGGCUGAUUGAAAUAUAGAGAAUCUCCAAUGUUGGGAUCCUUUUCCCCAUAGGUUUUUAGGUGGGGAUAAAGAAGAAAAGAAAGUGUUUUGUCUUCUCAGUUUAUACUACUUUGGAAGGUGUUUUCAGUAAAUCUAGAGGAAUGACCUGAAAGACAUGAAUGUCUGAAUGAAAUCAAAGCUGCCACCUAGCCUGAGUCUAUUUCAAUUCCUGGAUGGAAGAAGUGAUGUUUCCUCACUCUAAGAGAAUAAUAAACUUGUCUGGGUAAAACCACAUCAACUUCAGUCUCCUUUUUUUGAAGACAAUGUGUGAAAUUAAAAAAUUAAAAAAUACAAAAACAUCUUUGUAAAGCAGCAGGAAAGGUGAUGGGAAAAAAAGACAAUGAACAAAUCCACAUCUAUCUUUAGAUUGGAGUUAGGAGGAAAAUUUAUAAUAUUACUACACAAAAUAGAAGUUAUAAGAAACAUGAGAAGCUGGAGAAAUUCAAUAGUUCUAGGUUUGGGAAGCUAUGUCCUGUUGGUGACAUUAAUGGGUGAGUUUAAGACUUUACACAUAGAAAACAAAUUAGUGUGAGGACACAUCAAUAAUACCUUCAAACCAAAGGGCAGAGAUAAAGUGAGGAUUGACAAGGCAUUGCAUACUCACUCGUAACGUUAUAAGUUAAUCAUAAGCACCUGCAUUCUCUUUCUUGCCACGUGUGAACAAGGAUGACUAAUCAUACGCAAGCGAGUGAAGACCAAUGACUCGGCCUGGCCUCUGGCCUCCCGGCUUUCUGCAUUUGCCUGUGGGGGGAACCGGGAUGCAAAGGUCUCCUCCGUUGGGUGACGUGUGCGUCCGUGGCUGUUGUGUCAGGGAUAUGGGCAAGGCUGGGCUGCCUCUGCUUCAGCCCUCGGCUGUGCCAGACUGGUUUUUGCCACUAGCAGACGUUAGCGUGAGUGUGCUAGGCAUUCUGGAAUAGGAUACUCCAAAUAUCCUCAGUCUCCUUCAUGUCCUAGUUCUCACCGAACACAACCCUUUGGCAACAAAAUUCUCUUGUCUUCCUAGGAAUGAUUUUUUCUCCAGUCACUUCUUGUUUCAGCAGAUUUCUUCUGCAUGCCAAAUGAGUUGCUAAAUUGAAUGAGUGCAUAGUGAUUACAGAUCCAGACUUUCCUGCACAACUGGCUUGUUUAAAGGAUAAAUGAAAGUAUUUCUGCAUUGAUUACAGACAUAUUUCUCUGACGUAACUUCUCCAUUUUGUUUGACGGAACUGUGGAUGAAAAUUCUUCCACACUCACUUCAUUUACAUCCUUCCGUGUCAGUCCAUUAUCUAAAGGUUUUGUCAUAUAGAUGACCCACAUAUGGAUUCUCUCCACUUUGGAUUACCUUCAGUUGAGUGAAGUAAUAAGGAUGAAUAAAUGCUCUCCCACACUGAUUAUAAAUAUGGUGUUUCUUGAGUAUUUGAGCCCUCAAGAGUGUUUGUAGUUUGAAGCUAUAGGUGGUGAAUCUUCCACAUUUAUUACCUUUACAUGUAUUUUCUCAUGUUGUCUAAGGUUAAAAUAUUUACUGAAGGCUUUCCCGCAUACAAAACAUUUAUAUGGUUUCUCUCCAGUGUGGAUUCUCUUAUGCAAUCUAAAGUUAUAGCUUCUAUUGAAGGCUUUGCCACAUACAUUGCAUUCAUAUGGUUUCUCACCGGUAUGAGUUCUCUCAUGUCGUCUAAGGACAGAAGAGUGAUUGAAAGCUUUCCCACAUAGGUGACAUUCAUACGGUUUCUCUCCAGUGUGCGUUCUCUCAUGUCGUUUAAGGACAGAAGAAUCAGUAAAGGCUUUCCAACACAGAUGACAUUCAUACGGUUUCUCUCCAGUGUGGGUUCUCUCGUGUCGUCUAAGGACAGAAGAUUCAGUGAAAGCUUUCCCACACAGAUGACAUUCGUAUGGUUUCUCUCCAGUGUGAGUUCUCUCAUGUUUUCUGAGGUGAGAACAGUGGGUAAACGCCUUCCCACACAAAUGACACUCAUAUGGUUUCUCUCCAUUAUGAGUUCGCUCAUGUUGUCUAAGGUAAGAAGUUUUACUGAAUGUCUUCCCGCAUAGAUGGCACCCAUAUGGUUUCUCUCCAAAGUGAGUUCUUUCAUGUUUGUUAAGGUCAGAACAGUGGGUGAAGGCUUUCCCACAUAGAUGGCAUCCAUGGGGUUUUUUCCUGGUGUGAAUCAUCUCGUGUCGCCUAAGGUUAUAACUCUUACUGAAGGCUUUCCCACAUAGAUGGCAUCCAUAUGAUUUCUCUCCCGUGUGCGUUCUCUCAUGCUUCCUAAGGUCAGAGCAAUGAGUGAAGGCUUUCCCACACAGAUGGCAUCCGUGUGGUUUCACUCCAGUGUGAAUCAUCUCGUGUCGCCUAAGGUUGGAACUUUUUCCAAAGGCCUUCCCACAUUCAUGACAUUCAAAUGUUUUCUCUCCAUUUUGAGUAUUAUUGGUUUGUCUAUGGGCAGAGCUUUGAAUAAAGGCAUUCCCACGUUGACAACAUUUGUAUGAUUUACUUGUAGUGUGACUCUGCUUAUGUGUAUUAAAAGAUGUCAAAUAACUGCUGUCUUUUCCACAUUCUUUGCUGAUAUAGGGAUUCUUUCCCAUUUUAGGUACCACAUAUUGAGUCCAUGUUAGUAUUUCAGUAAAAUUGUCUCCGAAAUCAUUGCAUUCAAAAGGAUCCUCUUGAGUGUGAGAUCUUUGCUUUUUGAAAGGAAAUGAGAGACUGUUAAAAAUUCCCUCACAUUUAUUCCUUCCCUCCUUCAUCUACAUAUAAAUUCUACAGUCAUCAUUCAGUGAUAGAGUCCGACAACAUUGUCUCAAGAUUAGUUACAUAAACAGGGGGUAUUCCUCUCCAGCAAGCAUAGAGAUUUUCUUUUUUGUAGCAUCCCAAAUGCAGAGAUAUCUGAUUAAAGACAUUAUUAUGUGUCAAAUGUUAGGUAUGUAAGUCAUGAUCAUGCAGCUGUCUGUUUACAAGACCUCAGGUUAUGGUUUUGACUUCAGAUUAAUUUCUUCCCUAAAAUCAAACUAACCAAAACUUCCUGCUGUGAAAACCCUUGAUUUCAACUUAAAUUAUGGUUGGGUAAUUGUGCCCAAUUCCUUACUUAUUCAAUACCCACAUCAUUUGGAAACACAGGUUCAUUCCCUUAAAGCUUACCAUUUCACUGAUUAAUGUUGUGUCCUUCUUGCAGAUAUGUUGCAUGAAUAUCACUUCUUGUUUUUUAAGAUGAUCUUCCCUAUCUGAAAUGAUUGGGGAAAAAAUUGCCAUAGUGAUUGAUGGAAUUAAAAUGUUGAAGACACUAAAUGCUCGUUGAGUAUGUUUCAAAUACUGACAGAGAUGGGAAAGAAUGUCAAAUUAAGGAAUACCAUAAGGAGAAGAAACACAAAGGACAUCAACAGUUGACCUUUUCAGGACUGAAAUAUGAGAAAAAUAAGAUGGAGAUGGUGCUCUCCUGGUUCCAAGUGGGAAAUCGUAUCUGAUUUGUAGAGUUGUCUGCCUGUUCAUAGAAAAAAGAUAAUUGAAUUUUGACUUCUGUGCUCAUAACACUGAAUGAUCAUCAAUAUAGGACCAACUAAUGAGAAAGAAUAAGGUAACCUCUGAAAGUCAUCCCAGGUAAGAGUAUGUUGAAAACAACAUGGACAGUCCUUCACCAACAGAAGUUUAACUCUUGACUUUUCCCAAAGACAUUAAGGACCUGUCAUUGUUGAUGCCUAACUAAGUUCAGAGAUAAACUGUGUAAUCUUCAAUAUUUUAACACAGCGAGAAGAUACAAGUUCUCACAGUGUUUGAAUAGUAUAUCCUAAAUGAAUCCAGUAAUACAACUCCACCAGAAAAAUCUUGGUUCUACAUGGAAAACCAUUUGUCUGUUGUUGUUUUUAAGAUUUAUUUAUUUUAGAGAAACUGGGGGCGGGGGAGGGGGAGAGGGAGAGAGAAACUUAAGCAGAUUCUGCACUGAGCAUGGAGCCCGAUUCGGGCUCAAUCCCACGACCCUGAGAUCAUGACCUGAGAUGAAACAAAGAGUCGGAUACUCAACCGACUGAGCCACCCAGGUGCCCCUGUUUUUUUUUUUUUUUUAAAUACUGUGGUCUGAUCAGUCCCCAUAGGAAAAAAAAAAGUCAGUAUAUUUACUUACCAAUUCAAAAAUAAUGAGUUCCCACCACUGUUUGGUUGUUGUGGAGAUUGAGUAGUAAGAAAGACAUGAAAUUCUAGUGGGAUGACAAAUAAAAGUAAAAUGUGAAGAAGAUUGCUGUGAGGUAGUUGUGGGUAAGAAAGAAGACAGUCUUCAGAAAUCACAGAAAUGAGCAAUCUUUUCCACACAGCUGUUGAAUGAAUGAGUGAACGGACAUAUACAUACAUCAUAAACACUAAGAGACUCACCAAUUGAGACCAGGUGACUGAUGUUCUCCAGCAUCACAUCUCUGAAGAGUUUUCUCUGGGACCUGUCCAGCAGGGUCCACUCUUCCUGAGUGAAGUCUACAGCUACAUCCUCAAAGGUCACCAAUUCCUAGAAGAUGAUGGACGUUGUUUUCAGACAGGGCCAUCUCUGCCAAUACUCAGGGGAGGCCCCAACAGAAGGUGACUCCACAUACCUGCCUAUUCCAUGACUGUACGUGGUGACACAGGACCGAGACGCCGACCCUCCUGUCUACGUCAAGUCACAACUCAUAGUAGCUUCCAAAUGUAUCUGGC